rnacentral:rRNA from 1 species
GUUUGAUCCUGGCUCAGGACGAACGCUGGCGGCGGGCUUAACACAUGCAAGUCGAGCGGAAAGGCCACUUCGGUGGUACUCGAUCGGCGAACGGGUGAGUAACACGUGAGUAAUCUGCCCCUGGCUUUGGGAUAGCCACCGGAAACGGUGAUUAAUACCGGAUAUGACAUGGACUCGCAUGGGUUUGUGUGGAAAGUUUUUCGGCCAGGGAUGUGCUCGCGGCCUAUCAGCUUGAUGGUGAGGUAAUGGCUCACCAUGGCUUCGACGGGUAGCCGGCCUGAGAGGGUGACCGGUCACACUGGGACUGAGACACGGCCCAGACUCCUACGGGAGGCAGCAGUGGGGAAUAUUGCACAAUGGGCGCAAGCCUGAUGCAGCGACGCCGCGUGAGGGAUGACGGCCUUCGGGUUGUAAACCUCUUUCAGCAGGGACGAAGCGCAAGUGACGGUACCUGCAGAAGAAGCGCCGGCCAACUACGUGCCAGCA